CAGCGGCUGGAGGUGGGGCCAUCAUCCUGCGCACUCCGGACGGCCAUGUCCCGGGGGCCCGGGCCCGGGCCCGAGCCCCGGCUGGCGGCGGAGCCGACAGAAGACGAGGCAGCGACCGCGGGAUCCAGCGCCGGCUCCGCAGGGUACUCCUGUCAUCGUACUUGGUGACUUCAGGGUUUAGCAGAACCAUCGCAUACGGUUAUGCAGAUUGUGCACCGCACAAUGCCAAAGACGCUGUUCACAUAGACGGUUAUAUACUGAAACCCCCACGAGGUGGAAGAAGUUAACUGUAUGCUGUCCAUAGACCAGUUGGAACUAAAAGGUUGAUGAUGUUGACUCCCGAUCAUCUCACCACCAACCAAUCAGAAGAAUGUCCAUGAGCUGAUCAAGCACUGCACAACCCCCCUCCCUCACCCUGUCUUUAAAAACCUUUCCCUGAAACCCAUCAGGGCAUUUGUCUUUUAAGCACCAGCUGCCUGGAUUCCUUGCUUGGCACCCUGCAAUAAAUGCUAUACU